rnacentral:rRNA from 1 species
AUGAACGCUGGCGGCGUGCCUAAUACAUGCAAGUCGAGCGAACAGGCGAGGAGCUUGCUCCUCUGACGUUAGCGGCGGACGGGUGAGUAACACGUGGAUAACCUACCUAUAAGACUGGGAUAACUUCGGGAAACCGGAGCUAAUACCGGAUAAUAUAUUGAACCGCAUGGUUCAAUAGUGAAAGACGGUUUUGCUGCCACUUAUAGAUGGAUCCGCGCCGCAUUAGCUAGUUGGUAGGGUAACGGCUUACCAAGGCGACGAUGCGUAGCCGACCUGAGAGGGUGAUCGGCCACACUGGAACUGAGACACGGUCCAGACUCCUACGGGAGGCAGCAGUAGGGAAUCUUCCGCAAAGGGCGAAAGCCUGACGGAGCAACGCCGCGUGAGUGAUGAAGGUCUUCGGAUCGUAAAACUCUGUUAUUAGGGAAGAACAAAUGUGUAAGUAACUAUGCACGUCUUGACGGUACCUAAUCAGAAAGCCACGGCUAACUACGUG